UUCCAAUUCCAAUCUUUUUAGAGAACGAAGACACGAAAAAUCUUACGUUUCCUUCGUCUCUACAUUCACUGUUCCACAUAAAUCACCUUUCCUCCAUCUUUCUCUUUAUUCGAUUCCAAUUCAAAAUUUAUUGUGGCUGGCAACUUCUGUGAAAUCUCCUCCUCCAUAUCUUGCGCAUGAUCUUUUCCGCAUCUACUUAUCUCUUAGAUGAUUAUUCUUUGUAAUAUAUCAGGUGAAACAUGGGUUAAAACGUAGCUUUUGAAAUGCGAUUUGAUGUUUCUGAUGGACACUCAUAUAAGAAAUUAGGAUGGAUAUAUACAACAAAGAGUCAUGUGCAUAUAUAAUGAUGGAUAUAUACAACAAGAUAGGCAGUGGUUACUUACUAUGGAGGAUAAGUGACUAAGCAGUAUUAGUAGCUGUAUGCGUGACAUAAACAAGGGUACAUUUGUGGUUAACUGUUUUACAUAUACACUUGACGUUCGAGGUCGAGUCGGUAUCAGCAUCUCAUGUUUUUACUCCGGUAUCAGCAUCUCCUCCCAGAGUCGGUUAGCACAACAAUAGUCUACGGGAUCACGUAGAAGCACUCCCGUUAGUGGGAGUUAGAAAUCAGGUGCCAAGGGAUUAGCCUAUCUCUUCCCAAAGUAGCCAGCAAAAUAAGCAGGAACCAACAUAGGGAGGGGUGGUCUUGGAAAUCCUAAGCGGCGGAACUUGAGGAAUCAAUUUAUUUGCUAGACGACUGCGGACUGCCCACAUGAGGGGUUUUUCUUACGAUUCACAUAUGUAAGAAAAAUCUGAUUUUUAUUUAUCAAGCCCGAGUUACGUUGUUGCAUAAGAAUUCGUGUUAGGGCAGCAGGAGAUGCUCCAAUACUUCAAAAGCAUGUAUUAUUAUUAUCAUUCAAGAUACGAAUUGCUAUCCGAAACUUUUCAAGAAUCUGGGAUUUUAGUUGUUGACAGUUUUCAAGCAGUUAAUGUUAAUUUUAUUAAAUUCAGGCCACUGAUGGUGUUGCAGUGUGUUGAAGUACAUACUGAUGGCAGCUGUUGUGGUAUUAUGGUAUUGUAGUGUGUUUAAGUUUAGCGUGUAGGGGGAGAAGACAAAUGGUUGAGUGAGAAGAUGGAUAGCCUCGGGUGGAUCUCUAGGAUGAAUGUCAAGAGAAAGCGACAUCCAAACCAUGGGAACCGUCUUAUCCUAUAAAAGUGUCAUCGAUCUAUGGGACGUCGUCUUUUUCUUCGUGUUGCGUGGACAGUUCUAAUGAGUUGCUAACUAAGUGCCUUUUAGGACUUCAACGGAAAUGGGGUCAUAUUUUAAAGGGUUUUGUUGGAUGCACAAGAUAACACCCGAUCAUUACAUUGGGAAAGUGCAAAACCAAUUUAAAAAAUAAGAGAGAUAAUGUUUUCUAGUACCGAAGAUCGUAAAACUUCACUCCUAAUAAAUGCAUGUUUAAUAAAUCUAUGUUAAUUUGCAUUUCCAAUGCUAGAAAAGAAUAUCUCUCUUAUUUUUUUUAAUUGUUUUGCACUUUCCCGAUGCCAUGAUUGUGUGUUAUCUUGUGCAUGGCUGCACAAGAUAAAAAUGGCUUCCUAGAACAACAUAGCAUUUGUUUUCUUUUGAUAUUGCAAUAAAUCCAACUGUUUCACGAACAAAA